GUGACGUUGUUUAAACAAUUGCGUUGGAAGAGCUGGAUCGUGUCCGAGCUUGCGAUCACGAGCGACACAAGGGCGCAACCCUGGAGCCGCUCGUUUCUUUACGCCUUGCAGUGCGUUUAUGUAAAGUUGUCAACCACUCGUGACUUUGUU